GGCGAGUGGAGUUUGUGAUAUUGGCGUCAGAUGGAAAGUAAUUUCCUGCCGGUGGUAUCACAAGUUGCUCGUGAUCCCCUUCCACUAUCUCGCUAGCUCCCCUCGGGCGUUUUCGCCCUGCGGUGGAGGCUUUCCACCCUAAGCUUUGUUUCAGACCCAUUUAUGCCUGUGUAUCCUCUACAAACAUCCGGAGGGGACUUCACUGCCUGGAGACCAAAGCCUAAACGGUUACCAGUGACAUUGUGUAGCUCAUGCCCCAGCAGCCUGAGUUCCAGCAAGGCUGUCUAGAUGUUCAAUCUAUUUAACUCAGUGAGUACUUCAUUCUAGUUAACUGAGCAUCUACUUUGGAUAAGGCACCGUGGAGGUUCAGAGGGAAGAGCUGUGUCUGUUUUGGUAAACACUUCAAGGCUGACACACGUUCGGGAUGUGCGAUGAUGCAAAAGUAAGGACUCCAUUCUGAAGGGAACAAGUUACCAAAGCCAGAUGCGCUCAGCUCCGGUGGUUCACAGCAGUGGGGACCAAGAUGGAUUUGCCCGCAAAAAUCGACCUGCGACUAGAGGCUCUGCGUUUGCCAAAAAGAAUUCUGCGGGGUGUCGGUGCUUAAGAGACAGUAAUGAUAUAAUAGGCUGCUGGUGACGACAGCUUCCAACCACAGUGCUCACCGAAGGCUGAACCAAAAAUCCCAGCUUCUCCAUCAUCCAAGAAGAAAGAUUGCUUGGUUCAAGGACAAGCCAGAUCCAAUGCUGCACCUGUGGGUGUGAUUCCAGCCUCUUCCUGGGCCUACAGAGACUGGCCUGGGCUCCUGAUAAAUAGGGAAGACUCGCCCCCAAGUCAAGUCUGGACUUUGGAACGCUCUGGAUGUUAUUCAUGCUUUCUAAUAACAACGAAGAUCUGAACCAUAAAAAGAAUUCAAGUUCCUCAACUCAUAAAGCCGCUCAUCAUUUGGAAGGGGUAAAGCACUGUCACUAUUUUCAGUCAUCCGUGAAAUGAACAUUCUGGGGAGAUACAGUAAGUUGAUGCACCACCCUUGAGCAGGGCAAAAUGAAUGUUCACCAGGAAUAUUUGGUAUUUUAAGAGGAUGGCAAAGGAAAGAAUAGUGGGAGUGGGAUAAAAACUUAAAUAGAUUUCCCCCACUCAUCUAUUGCAAUAGAAGAUAAUUAAAUUAUAAUGUUAAUUGUGUAAGCGCUCAUGGGUCCCUUAUUAUUUGAAAAUGAAUUGCCUCCUAACUGUUCAUGUACAAAUAUAAUACAUUGAACUGAAGCUAUUUUAAUAAAACAUCAAUUUUCAGAAGCUAUAAGAGGUUCUCCCAGGUCAGAUUUGAUAAGCUAUGAAGAAUAAAUGCCAACUCAUAUUUUUCUAUGGUAAUGGGAAAUAAAGAGAACUGAGUGAUUCAAACCAAUAGUUUAAUUUUAGACAAUAGUUUGACUCCUUCCCUCCUGUCCUUUUACCUAGGCUGUUACCAAGUAACCGGGCUGGUUGGCUUGAGUUUCACUGUUGGGUGCUUACCCUUUCCCUGACCCUCUGUGCAGGCACUUUUCAUCUGUUAAAUGAAAAAGUGGUUGUAUAACUGGGACUAUCCUGAGCUGGGAUUCCCAGGGCCUAGGUUCUGAUUGUCUCUUUGCUGCUAAGUCUGUGGAUGACCUUCAGCAAGACACCGAAGGUCUGUGGAGAACUGCUGGCUUAUCAUCUCAAAGAUGGAGUGAUAAUCCCGUCUCUAUCUUGAGCCCACACUGAGAAAAAGAUGACAUGACUGCAGUUAUUUGAGAGCCUUAUGGAAAGAUGUCUUAUAAAUAUUAUAAUUAAUGUUAUCAUUAAGUAUUGCUUUGCUGCAGAUCUUCCAAGUAUAAAGAUCAGCGAAGAAGUCAGUUUUCCCUGAUGCAAAAUGGAAAUUUGAAAAUGCAACAAUCCUAUAUUUUGCCAUAUAGGAUUCGAGCGGUUCUGCCAUACAGGUGUCAUUUUUUUCUUACAUGGACUAUUGACAAAUUUUGACUUAAUUUUUUGUAUUUUUAGGAUUGUCCAGAACCUUAGUAAUAAACCCCCAUGGAAGAUUUCUAAAAUAUUUUCAUACAACAGUUUUCAUGAGCAUUAAAGUUUCUAUAUAAUCAGUCUUUACAAAAGCUAAAAUAUUUUCAUACAACAGUUUUCAUGACCAUUAAAUUUUCUAGGGGUGCCUGGGUGGCUCAGUCAGUUAAGCGUCUGACUUCAGCUCAGGUCAUGAUUUCACA